rnacentral:rRNA from 1 species
GUCUUUGGCCAUACCACCCUGAAAGCGCCCAAUCUUGUCUGAUCUCGGAAGCUAAGUAGGGUCGGGCCUGGUUAGUACUUGGAUGGGAGACCGCCUGGGAAUACCAGGUGCAGUUGGCU